GGUCUGAGAGGACGACCAGCCACACUGGGACUGAGACACGGCCCAGACUCCUACGGGAGGCAGCAGUGGGGAAUUUUGGACAAUGGGCGCAAGCCUGAUCCAGCAAUGCCGCGUGAGUGAAGAAGGCCUUCGGGUUGUAAAGCUCUUUCAGUUGAGAAGAAAAGAUUGUGACUAAUAAUUGCAAUUCAUGACGGUAUCAACAGAAGAAGCACCGGCUAACUACGUGCCAGCAGCCGCGGUAAUACGUAGGGUGCGAGCGUUUAAUCGGAAUUUACUGGGCGUAAAGGGUGCGCAGGCGGUUCUGUAAGUCAG
rnacentral:rRNA from 1 species